rnacentral:rRNA from 1 species
GAUGAACGCUGGCGGCGUGCCUAAUACAUGCAAGUCGAGCGAACGGACGAGAAGCUUUCUUCUCUGAUGUUAGCGGCGGACGGGUGAGUAACACGUGGAUAACCUACUUAUAAGACUGGGAUAACUUCGGGAAACCGGAGCUAAUACCGGAUCAUAUUUUGAACCGCAUGGUUCAAAAGUGAAAGACGGUCUUGCUGUCACUUAUAGAUGGAUCCGCGCUGCAUUAGCUAGUUGGUAAGGUAACGGCUUACCAAGGCAACGAUGCAUAGCCGACCUGAAAGGGUUGUCGGCCCCACUGGAAAUUAGAAAACGUCCCGACCUCCACGGGAGGGCAGAGUAGGGAAUCAUCCGAAAAGGGGGGAAAGCCGACGGAACACAGACGGGGGAGGUAUGGAGGGCUUUCGAUCGUUAAACUCUGUUUUUUGGGAAAAACAAGCGUGUAAGUAACUGCGCACAGCUCGACCGUAACUAAUAAGAUAGCCACGGCUAAACACGUU